CCUACGGGAGGCAGCAGUGGGGAAUAUUGCACAAUGGGGGAAACCCUGAUGCAGCGACGCCGCGUGAGUGAAGAAGUAUUUCGGUAUGUAAAGCUCUAUCAGUAGGGAAGAAAAUGACGGUACCUGAAUAAGAAGCCCCGGCUAACUACGUACCAGCAGCCGCGGUAAUACGUAGGGGGCAAGCGUUAUCCGGAUUUACUGGGUGUAAAGGGAGCGUAGGCGGCAGCACAAGCCUGGAGUGAAAUGCCGGGGCUUAACCCCGGAACUGCUUUGGAAACUGUGCAGCUAGAGUGCAGGAGAGGUAAGUGGAAUUCCUGGUGUAGCGGUGAAAUGCGUAGAUAUUAGGAGGAACACCAGUGGCGAAGGCGGCUUACUGGACUGUAACUGACGUUGAGGCUCGAAAGCGUGGGGAGCAAACAGGAUUAGAUACCCGUGUAGUC
rnacentral:rRNA from 1 species